UACGGAGGGUGCAAGCGUUAAUCGGAAUUACUGGGCGUAAAGCGCGCGUAGGCGGUUUGUUAAGCGGGAUGUGAAAUCCCCGGGCUUAACCUGGGAAUUGCAUUUCGAACUGGCAGGCUAGAGUGUGGAAGAGGGGUGUGGAAUUUCCGGUGUAGCGGUGAAAUGCGUAGAGAUCGGAAGGAACAUCAGUGGCGAAGGCGACACCCUGGUCCAACACUGACGCUGAGGUGCGAAAGCGUGGGGAGCAAACAGG
rnacentral:misc_RNA from 1 species